rnacentral:rRNA from 1 species
UACGUAGGGUGCGAGCGUUAAUCGGAAUUACUGGGCGUAAAGCGUGCGCAGGCGGUUCGUUGUGUCGGCGGUGAAAGCCCCGGGCUUAACCUGGGAAUGGCCGUUGAAACUGGCGAACUGGAGUGUGGCAGAGGGGGGUGGAAUUCCGCGUGUAGCAGUGAAAUGCGCAGAUAUCAGGAGGAACACCGGUGGCGAAGGCGGGUCUCUGGGCCGUAACUGACGCUGAGGAGCGAAAGCGUGGGGAGCGAACAGG